rnacentral:rRNA from 1 species
CCUACGGGUGGCAGCAGUAGGGAAUAUUGCUCAAUGGGGGAAACCCUGAAGCAGCAACGCCGCGUGGAGGAUGAAGGUUUUCGGAUUGUAAACUCCUUUUGUUAGAGAAGAAAAUGACGGUAUCUAACGAAUAAGCACCGGCUAACUCCGUGCCAGCAGCCGCGGUAACACGGAGGGUGCAAGCGUUAUUCGGAAUAACUGGGCGUAAAGCGCGCGGAGGCGGGAUAGCAAGUCAGAUGUGAAAUCCUAUGGCUUAACCCUAGAACUGCCUUUGAAACUGUUAUUCUAGAGUAUGGGAGAGGUAGGUGGAAUUCUUGGUGUAGCGGUCAAAUCCGUAGAGAUCACGAAGAAUACUCAUUGCGAAGGCGACCUGCUAGAACAUAACUGACGCUGAUGCGCGAAAGCGUGGGGAGCAAACAGGAUUAGAUACCCCAGUAGUC